rnacentral:rRNA from 1 species
GCUCCGCCCGCCGGGUUCACGCCUCCGGUUCCCAAGCGGUUUGAGGUCAAGCCCGGCCAGUCAAACAACAUCGCUGGCGCCGCCCUCGCCUUGCCCUUCCGCCUCGGCACCGGGGUCUUCGUCCUAGGAUAUGGAGUGACACUUGUUGAUGCUAACGAGAUAUCACCGGAUCAAUAUGCUUUGGAUUUCCAAGGUCAGAAGGUGAAAGAAACGUCGAAGGUGGGGCAGUGCCCUCGACCUGCUAAGCCUAUUGAAAUAUACGAGUUUGAAGGAUGUCCAUUUUGUCGAAAGGUCAGAGAGAUGGUAUCCGUCCUGGACCUUGAUGUUUUAUAUUACCCUUGUCCUAAAGGCAGCCCAACCUUCCGUCCAAAGAUUCUUGAGAUGGGCGGAAAGAAACAAUUUCCUUACAUUGUCGAUCCAAACACAGGAGUUGCUAUGUAUGAAUCAGAUGACAUCAUAAAUUACCUGGCAAAAACUUACGGUGAUGGAAGUGUUCCAAUUAUGCUAAAACUUGGUCUAUUGACAACAAUAACGGCAGGGCUUGCAUUGAGUGGGCGUAGCGGGAAGGGAUCUUCCUACAGUCCUGCAAAGCUUCCAUCCCAGCCAAUAGAGAUAUGGGCAUACGAGGGAUCUCCUUUCUGUAAAAUAGCGCGUGAGACCCUUGUCGAGUUGGAGUUGCCACACUUGCUACACAGCUGUGCGCGUGGCAGCCCCAAGCGACAGGAUUUUUUCGAGAAAUAUGGUAUUUUCCAGGCGCCUUAUAUCGAGGAUCCUAACACGGGGGUAAAGAUGUUCGAGAGCGCCGACAUCGUAGAGUAUCUGAGGGCAACAUAUGCUGCUUGA